UGGUGGAGCGAUUUGUCUGGUUAAUUCCGAUAACGAACGAGACUCUGGCCUAUUAACUAGACGAUGUAUUUAAAAGUAUAUCACGCUUCUUAGAGGGACAAGCGGCGUCUAGCCGCAUGAAAUAGAGCAAUAACA
rnacentral:rRNA from 1 species